CCACCCUCUCGACAUGAUGAAAUAUGGGAUCAGGAAAACAAAGUAAAUUCAUUCCCCUUUUUCUCCUUUUUUUUCCUCCUUCUUGAAUUUUCCUUCUACUUCUCUGUUUCUAACUGUAUUUGGCAUUUUUCUAUCUUAUACUUUCUCUAGUCACAAUUGGACUGGUUUAAUUUUCAAAAAUAUACUUUAUACAGACAAAAGCUCUUAGGUCCUUUUGCCUUUCCUCCACCCACCCCUUUUUCAAUUUUUUUUUUUUUCAUUUUGUUUGGUUCUGCCAUAGUACCUCCUCAUUCCUGACAUCUCCCUUUUUUCCUUUCUCAUCCAACCCUUUUGUCCUCCUUUACCUAACCAAGAGCCCCUUUCACUUUGUCUGCAAACCCAUCUUUGGGCCUUCCUGUUGUCUAUUUCCUUUGUCUACUUCCUUCCACCCUGCAACCUUAACCUUUUUUCUUUUCCCCAGGGGGACCUUACAUUUUCCACAUCCUCUCUUUCCUGUUAUUUUCUUUCCCCGUGACAAGAGGGAUGAGAAAUGCUCAGGAGUAGAGACGUGCCUUUGUGGUGUCCUGUUUCCUUUAGCCUUCCGGCUACCCUUUCUCUUGGCAGAAACGUCGGAAAGCAGGAAUAGCUGACCACGUGCUGCAACAAGUCCCUUCCUGCCUCAGUUCUGCGCACCACCAAAAUAUAGCAUGCGGGCCCUGGCACAACCACAGUUGGCAACAGGUUGGGAGAUUCCUAGAAGGAUGCUUGUGGAGCACGGAGACCAGCACAGGGACAAUGAGACUGGGCACAACAGAAAGAAAGAGCAAGAGAUGUUACCUGAAAAAUGAAGAAAAAUACAGUGGAAAAUGUAUUAUCAUCAUCAAACAGUAUUAUUUCUUCACAGGUUUCUGAAGGCAGCUCUGAAAACAGACUUAAUUCCUUAAGAAUGAAAGCACUCAAGGGAAAUAUAUCCGUCAAAAUCAGAGUGGCUGAAAGCCAGUAAGAAACUGAAAUCAAACUGUGUAAGUACAUA
ensembl:lncRNA